GUGCUUGCAUCGGCAGCACAUAUACUAAAAUGAGAAUGAUACAGGGAAAAUUUAGCAUGGCUCCUGCACAAGGAUGACAAGCAAAUUUGUGAAGCGUUCUGUAUUAUU
ensembl:snRNA U6 U6 spliceosomal RNA